rnacentral:lncRNA from 1 species
AAUAUUUCAAUUGUCUUUCAGAUAUUUUUCCAUUCAUCUUCACAAAAAUAUACACAACACCGCCAUCCAAUCGCUCAUCCAAACCCUUUAACCAUCUUCCGUCAAAACCUUAGAACAGCAAUUAAAAAAAAAAUUCAGCAGCAGUUUCUCCAAUUUCAGUUAGUUGCAAAAAAAAAAAAAAAAGAGAGAGAGAAAGAGGUUACUGUUCGGGUUACUGUUCACCCGAAAUCAGUAAAAAUAAAUAAAUAAAUAAAAAUUUGAAGCCUUUAUCAUUUAGAAGUCUAUUGUUGCACACUG